rnacentral:snRNA from 1 species
UUGCUUUGGCAGCACAUAUACUAAAAUUGGAACGAUACAGAGAUUAGCAUGGCCCCUACGCAAGGAUGACGCGCAAAUUUGUGAAGCGUUUCAUAUUUUU